rnacentral:rRNA from 1 species
GACGAACGCUGGCGGCGUGCUUAACACAUGCAAGUCGAACGGUAAGGCCCCUUCGGGGGUACACGAGUGGCGAACGGGUGCGUAACACGUGAUCAACCUGCCCUUGACUCUGGAAUAACAGUUGGAAACAGCUGCUAAUACUGCAUAUUCAUCGUCUCCUUCCUUGGGGUUGGUGGACAGCUCCGGCGGUCAGGGAUGGGCUCGCGGCCUAUCAGCUUGUUGGUGAGGUAAUGGCUCACCAAGGCUUCGACGGGUAGCCGGCCUGGGAGGGCGACCGGCCACACUGGGACUGAGAUACGGCACAGACUCCUACGGGAGGCAGCAGUGGGGAAUAUUGCACAAUGGGCGCAAGCCUGAUGCAGCAACGCCGCGUGCGGGAUGACGGCCUUCGGGUUGUAAACCGCUUUCAGUAGGGACGAAGGGUGACUGACGGUACCUACAGAAGAAGGACCGGCUAACUACGUG